CCUACGUGAGGCUGCAGUAGGGAAUCUUCCACAAUGGGCGAAAGCCUGAUGGAGCAACGCCGCGUGGGUGAAGAAGGUCUUCGGAUCGUAAAACCCUGUUGUUAGAGAAGAAAGUGCGUGAGAGUAACUGUUCACGUUUCGACGGUAUCUAACCAGAAAGCCACGGCUAACUACGUGCCAGCAGCCGCGGUAAUACGGAGGUGGCAAGCGUUAUCCGGAGUUAUUGGGCGUAAAGGGAACGCAGGCGGUCUUUUAAGUCUGAUGUGAAAGCCUUCGGCUUAACCGGAGUAGUGCAUUGGAAACUGGGAGACUUGAGUGCAGAAGAGGAGAGUGGAACUCCAUGUGUAGCGGUGAAAUGCGUAGAUAUAUGGAAGAACACCAGUGGCGAAAGCGGCUCUCUGGUCUGUAACUGACGCUGAGGUUCGAAAGCGUGGGUAGCAAACAGGAUUAGAUACCCUGGUAGUC
rnacentral:rRNA from 1 species